rnacentral:rRNA from 1 species
UACGGGGGGGGCAAGCGUUGUUGCGGAAUUACUGGGCUGUAAAGGGCUACGGUAGGUGGCCAACUAAGUCAGACGUGAAAUCCCUCAGCUUAACUGGGGAACUGCGUCUGAUACUGGAUGGCUUGAGUUUGGGAGAGGGAUGCGGAAUUCCAGGUGUAGCGGUGAAAUGCGUAGAUAUCUGGAGGAACACCGGUGGCGAAGGCGGCAUCCUGGACCAACACUGACACUGAGGAGCGAAAAGCCAGGGGAGGCAAACGGG